GCCCUGGUAGUUUAGACGGUAAAGAAUCUGCCUACAGUGCAGGAGACCUGGGUUCGAUCCCUGGCUUGGGAA
rnacentral:tRNA from 1 species